rnacentral:rRNA from 1 species
CACUGCGUUUUGAUUUCUUUCUUCUUAGAUCCGUUCUGAUGUUCACCAAGAGUAACAAGAUCAUCCAUCAAGGACAGCCCUGAUUACCAAGAUCAAAAACAACCCUCUUCACCCAUUGAUUUGGUAUUACCAGAGAGCAUCUCAUGGAGAAGAACAAAUCCUGGUGUUUCAACCUACCCACAGCCGAUCAAUUGAGCGAGUGGAUGUUAACAGAGAAAUACAUGAUUGAUGAUAUUUCUUCUUCACAAGGUUUUAUAAGCGCAGUAGAACACAAGACGAGAGAGGUUGCGCGGCUGUGUUCCCACUACAUACUAGCACGGUGGGAUGGAUGGCCUAUGGAUGAGCACCACGUCACGCCACUCAUUUCAGAACAUCUUCAUCUGCCAUAUCAACCAUAUCUGUAUGCUCCAUAUGAUAAUGAAUCCCGGUUGGUGCUAGAUUUAAUGAAUGAGCCAACCACAGCUUAUGCACGUGUGGUUCUGUCCAGUGGAGUGACCAUGGCAGUAGAUGGGACUGAAGUUCUAUGUUACCCUGUAAAAAAUGUAGGUGUGCCAAUGGAAGCAAUACCUAAGGAAGUAAUAACCCCUAAAGAAGCUAGAGCAAGAAACUAAGGAUACUGAUAUCUUGGCAGCAUUCCGAGUAAGUCCUCAGCCUGGGGUUCCGCCCCAAGAAGCAGGGGAUGUACGAUUUUCAGAUUGAAGAAAUGAUGGAGACAAUGACUGAACAUCUAAAGGUACAGAUCUAUGGUUUGCCAUUACAUCUUUGGACUAGAAGAGCAAUUGAACGUGCCCUGCUACCACAUUGCCUUGUUGAGAAUGUUAGUCAAGCCAAUCUCAUCUUUCGCAAGCUUCGAUCAGUAAGUUGCACGGCAUGCCUGUUAGAACUGUUGUGCCAUUCCCAUGGUAUAUACUCAUUCAUGUCUCCAGCAAGUAUGACAAAGGAAGAAACCAAAGCAGUGGCCACAGGAACACAGAGACUUUUUGUAUUGGUGUUGACAGAGUUAAUAUUGGAGCUCAUCAUAACAAGUCUCUUCAAAGAACACACAGGAGGAUUCCUUCUUUCUUGCAGGCACUAAAGAGAGGAAUGGUUUCCCAUUCAUAUUUAAAUGAUGUUGACAUACCAGCUGACCAAAUGCGGAUAUUGGAAUCAUCAUUCCUCCUGACGGCUUGCGAUGAGGGAAGAAUUAUCACAGAGGACAAGUUAACACGCUGUUUGCAGCAAAUGCAGAUUGAAUGUCCUGGAAAGGUCAUAGUCAAGCAAGUUGGCAGGUCCAAAUACCUUAUAUAUUUCCAAGGGCCAGUAACCACAACUUUGUUUCACACGUUGUCUGCUGAUGCUGCUGGAAUCCAGCUACCUCUUGGUAAGUUCUUAGUUCAGAAAUGGUCGACGUCUGUUGGAGGUGUAUCUUCUACCCUCUCUCGAAAAGAACAGAUAAGGAUUACAGGACUGCCAACUGAAUUUUACAGCCCGUCUAUAAUUGAAGACAUCCUGAGCCCCCAGUGCAUGUUAGAAAACAACAGCCAUCAGGUUGGUGAGUCUCCUGAUGUUUGGUUCUAUGACUGUGCCAUAUGGACAAAUGAAAACAAAAUUAUUUCAGAGGACAUCUAUUUGGGCUGCUCCAAAUGGAUUAACAGUGGAACAAUCAACUGUUAAAGAUCUUCAGGUGCCUCUGGAGUUGUACAAUGCAAGAAUUACCAGCUCAUAACACCAUAUUUCAAGAGCUGGGAUCACAGUGCUGACAUAUCUACAUUAGUUGGGCAGCUUUCACUAUUUAGGUGUUUCUGUAAAUAAGUUUAAGUCAAAUUACUAUAUCUACACUUAUGCACCCUGCAGUCUCCCGCUCGCUACCUAUUACUUCUCCCUCGCGUAUCUUUUUGUUCUUGUAUUUUUGAUUAUGCCGUCUUAAGAGGUGUCCUCCAACGGAUAACUCUCCAUUAUCAGUCUUCCUUAUUAACUAAUCAGCCCAUUUUUUAAAACAAAUGUUGUGUUGUUUAAAAUUCACACACAUGCUACUGGAUUUUACUUACAUUCGUUUCAACCCCUUCCAAUAUAAUUAUUUCUGCCCUAAUAUAUGCCUACUGCAAUGUAUUCUGCACAGCCAGGUUGAUUGGACCUAGGUUGUUUCUUCUAUCUCCAUGUUAAUUGCAUUAGGAAUUACAAAAUGAGGAUGCACCUGCCGGUUGAUUACUAAGAAAGCCUUUUAUUUUCCACAGGCUUUAUUUAGAUUCUUGAUGCCUCCAUAAAAUUCCUGAUCCAGAAAAAGCUAGGUAAAGAUGAAACAAAAUGUUGAUUGCUUCCUUUUUAGUUCUCUUAGUUUAGCCUCGCCACAAAAGCCCUGUCCCACAGCUACAUGGCUUUAAAAAUUAGACCACCUGGCUAUAAUUCCAAAAAAACAAAUAAGGUAACAUAAAUUAUUUUAUUAUUCGAUUUGCUUUUUAUUAAAAAUAAACUACCACGUAGAUACAUGAUACUAAUUACCCAUAAAAAUAUAGCACUGUAUAUCAGUAAGCCCAUAUAAGGUUUGUUUUAGAAGAAGGAUAAACAAGCAAAGUAACAAUAUUAACGGACAUUUUCCAUCCUCAGAACCAACCACAAAAACAGGCCCAUGACAAAGCAAUUUUAGAAGCCCAUGCCACCAGGGCCCAUACACAUCUUGCUCAGGCUCCGCACAGUAUAUAAAGAGCAAGAUGUUAUGCUUUUACCUAAAUCCCCAAUCCGAAACCCUGGCUCCUCUCUCUGCUGUGCGCCCCCCCACACCAGCGGCUACCACACCGAAUCCUCAGCGCCUGUGGUAACAAAGCGCAUGAACUACAUGUACAUUGGAGCUGUUUGUGAUGAGGGAUCUCCAGGCUCGGCAUCAUCAAGAACAAGAACCACUGAGCCAAAGGUAAAAACCUGAGUCUCUGCUGUAACUGAUUUGUCACAAUAAAAUAUUUCUAUCGAUUGCAUAACCAAGGCAGAUGCUAACAUACAAAACGGAGAACUUAAGAUGCUUUCCACACGUUAUGAUUUUUUUAUAGAUAAUCCCCUCAAUGUUGCCAUGCGCUGUCAUGCUCAAUGUCUUAUUAAUUCACUGGUCCACCUAAGUAUGCCUCGGAACGCCUGCUUAAUACCUGUUUCUCGGUCAAUAUCAGCGACACAAUCUUUAGUUAAUUAUAACUGCAGUACCUACCCUGCUCUCAUAAUAAUACAGUCCCUCGUUGCUAGCUUCGAAACAUGAUAGGGCCCUAUUCUUCCCUACUAUGAAAGCCGUAGACGCAGACAAGUAGGAAAAACCAGAUUGCUUGCUAUCCUGUCGGCUGUACUUGCUAUUUACCUCGUAUAUUUUCCUGACUCUGAUGAAACGCUACUUUAUGAUCUUCCAACUGCUGAACUAAGAUCCCGUAAAAAAAAUUCAGGACAACAUGGGCACUCAAAAGUGUCAGUACGUUGUUGAUGCUACUGGAUUUGAUAAAGUUGCGGGUCUGAGGUCAACAAGAAAAAUAUAAUGCCAUCAUCUUAUGCGGGCAAACUUCGCUCGAUGACUGAAAACUUCCACGAUUCUAUAGCUGUUUCACGUGUCCAUGGCUCACCUGAUAUAUUCACAACCUUCACUUACGAUCCAAACUGGCCUGAGAUAGUUGAGGGUCUUGAGCAUGGACAACAGGCAAUCAAUGAAGCUAAUUUUGCUGCUCAAGUGUAUCAGAUGAAGUUACUUGGGUACCUGCAAGAAAUAAAGACCGGGAAAGUGUUUGGGCCUGUAGUUGUAGUCCUCCACUCCGUGGAGUUCCAGAAGAGGAGUCUGCCCCAUGCACAUAUCCUUGUUUGGCAGAAAAAAGAUAAUGGCCAAGGAUCUGCGUCCACUGAUGUUGAUGCCGAUGCUCCUGCGAUUGCAGCUGUUAACACCAUGGAGACUGCACUUCUGCAGACAUAAAAGCUUAUGAGAGAUGUUGCUGCUGCUGCACAGAACAUUUCGUCAAAAAUGUUUCGUUGCUAAGUGAUCUACACUUUCGGAUGAACAUGCAUGAAAGGUUCUUUUGGUCCUUGGUUCUUUCUCUCUGGUUACUUUGGAUCUAGCAACUAAAGCGUUGCCCACAAGGACAAGUGAAGCCUGCUUUGCAGUUACUGUUUUCGCACAAUUGUCCAAGUAUCCAGAAUGGCCUAUUACUAUGUUCGUCGCAUAUUUGUAAACCGCAUGUUUGGCAACCCCUGUUCAUGCGUUUCCUUGUUUAAGAUCUCAACCAGCCUAUUUCCAUGUUCUAUGGAUAUCGUUCUUAGCCCUUUGUUAAUGUACCCUAUGUCCCUCAUGACUAUUUGAACCUACUACAAAUAUUUAUUAAGCCAACCUAUCUAACGUAUGUUUGAU